CUUGGAUCAGCGCAUGGAAAGCCCUUGGGUCCAGUCCUGGUGGAAAGUGUGGGUUGUGUAUGAGUGGGAGAAGGGGCGAUGGGUACGGUGCUAGCUCGUGUCUAUCCUUUGUGCGGUACCACUCUUGCAGAGUAGCCUUGAUGUAUGGGGAGCAUUUCCUCCCCUUGCUCCCGAUCCCGGGAGGCAGCCAUGGCAGGACCGCGACUGGGACACCUGCCUCGAC